GAGUAAUGUCUGGGAAACUGCCUGAUGGAGGGGGAUAACUACUGGAAACGGUGGCUAAUACCGCAUAACGUCGCAAGACCAAAGAGGGGGACCUUCGGGCCUCUUGCCAUCAGAUGUGCCCAGAUGGGAUUAGCUUGUUGGUGAGGUAACGGCUCACCAAGGCGACGAUCCCUAGCUGGUCUGAGAGGAUGACCAGCCACACUGGAACUGAGACACGGUCCAGACUCCUACGGGAGGCAGCAGUGGGGAAUAUUGCACAAUGGGCGCAAGCCUGAUGCAGCCAUGCCGCGUGUAUGAAGAAGGCCUUC
rnacentral:rRNA from 4 species